rnacentral:rRNA from 1 species
UACGUAGGGGGCUAGCGUUGUCCGGAUUUAUUGGGCGUAAAGAGCGUGUAGGCGGCCAGGUAGGUCUGCUGUGAAAACUCGAGGCUCAACCUCGAGACGUCGGCGGAAACCAUCUGGCUAGAGUCCGGAAGAGGAGAGUGGAAUUCCACGUGUAGCAGUGAAAUGCGUAGAGAUGUGGAGGAACACCGAUGGCGAAGGCAGCCCCCUGGGAUGAGACUGACGCUCAUGUACGAAAGCGUGGGGAGCAAACAGG